CAGCAGCCGCGGGAAUACGAAGGGGGCUAGCGUUGCUCGGAUUUACUGGGCGUAAAGCGCACGUAGGCGGACUUUUAAGUCAGGGGUGAAAUCCCGGGGCUCAACCCCGGAACUGCCUUUGAUACUGGAAGUCUUGAGUAUGGUAGAGGUGAGUGGAAUUCCGAGUGUAGAGGUGAAAUUCGUAGAUAUUCGGAGGAACACCAGUGGCGAAGGCGGCUCACUGGACCAUUACUGACGCUGAGGUGCGAAAGCGUGGGGAGCAAACAUGAUUAGAUACCCCCGUAGUCCCUGUCUCUUAUAC
rnacentral:rRNA from 1 species